AUUGAACGCUGGCGGCAGGCCUAACACAUGCAAGUCGAACGAGUGGCGGACGGGUUAGUAAUGUCUGGGCAACUGCCUGAUGGAUGGGGAUAACUACUGGGACCGGUAACUACUACCGCAUACCUUCAGAUGAGCCCAGAUGGGAUUAGCUUGUUGGUGGGGUAACGGCGCACCAGGGCGACGCUCCCUAGCUGGUCUGAGAGGAUGACAAGCCAAACGGGAACUGGGACAGGGUCCAGACUCUUACGGGAGGCAGCAGGGGGGAAUAUUGCACAAGGGGCGCAAGCCUGAUGAAGCCAUGCCGCGUGUAUGAAGAGGGCCUUCGGGUUGUAAAGUACUUACAGCGGGGAGGCGUUACCCGCAGAAGAAGCACCGGCUAACUCCGUGCCAGCAGCCGCGUAAUAC
rnacentral:rRNA from 1 species